rnacentral:lncRNA from 1 species
UGGUGGCUCUGAGACAACACCACCUUGUCCCCCUGGGGGAGGAAUGGAGCAGGAGGUGAGGACACACUUUCAUCACAGUUUCCCUGCUUAGUUUCAGAAACAUGAAGACUCAGUGAAAUUGUGUUUUCACAAUUACCUUUUGGAGUAGAAGAUGUCUACCCCAUCCAAUCACCAAGGACGCCCACAGCAAGCAAGUCCAAACUCUGCCUUUGUCAAUGGGAAAUGCUCCCUUGCAGUGUCUACUAUGAUGGAUCUUGUAUUCUGCAAACCUGCUGACCUCUUUAUUAUCAUUGCGGCUGAGCCCAAGAGCAAGGGAGCCUGGGUUCCUGAACCACCGCGUGGGAAGAUGCCUGGGAAAUCCACAAUGGAGUGUCACACGGGCAAGAAAUAGACACCUGUUGUGUUGGGCACUGACACUGGGGGGUUAUCUGCGCGACGGCUGCCAUCACCUUGGCCAAC